UACGGAGGGUGCGAGCGUUGUCCGGAAUCACUGGGCGUAAAGGGCGCGUAGGCGGCCUGAUAAGUAGGGGGUGAAAUCCUGCGGCUUAACCGCAGGGCUGCCUUCUAAACUGUCAGGCUAGAGCACAGUAGAGGCAGGUGGAAUUCCCGGUGUAGCGGUGGAAUGCGUAGAGAUCGGGAAGAACAUCGGUGGCGAAGGCGGCCUGCUGGGCUGU
rnacentral:rRNA from 1 species